CUCCCAAGGCAACGCUGUGAGUCACUUCCAUCAGCAAACAGACGCUCUGUGUUCAUCUGUGAAGCCAUGUGGACACAUUGCAGUGGUUGCCCGGCAAUAUUCUGGUCCCAAGUGCUCCCCAGGGGCGCCUGCGAUGCUCCGCAAGUUCCAGUCACCCUUUUCCCUGCGCUGCUCCCCUCAGCUGUGCAGAUGAGCUCGAGUUCCCACACCCCCCGCUCGCACCCAGCCCGCCCGCAGUACGAGACUUCCAUCUGUCGCCACUCUGAGGUCACUU
rnacentral:lncRNA from 1 species